rnacentral:rRNA from 1 species
CCUACGGGAGGCAGCAGUAGGGAAUCUUCCGCAAUGGACGAAAGUCUGACGGAGCAACGCCGCGUGAGCGAUGAAGGCCUUCGGGUCGUAAAGCUCUGUUGUCAGGGAAGAACAAGUACCGGAGUAACUGCCGGUACCUUGACGGUACCUGACCAGAAAGCCACGGCUAACAACGUGCCAGCAGCCGCGGUAAU